rnacentral:rRNA from 1 species
UACGUAGGGGGCGAGCGUUGUCCGGAUUUAUUGGGCGUAAAGAGCUCGUAGGCGGCUUGGCAAGUCGGAUGUGAAACCUCCAGGCUCAACCUGGAGUCGCCAUCCGAUACUGCUAUGGCUAGAGUCCGGUAGGGGCCCACGGGAAUUCCUGGUGUAGCGGUGAAAUGACGCAGAUAUCAGGAGGAACACCGGUGGCGAAGGCGGGUCUCUGGGCCGUAACUGACGCUGAGGAGCGAAAGCGUGGGGAGCGAACAGG